rnacentral:rRNA from 1 species
GACGGGUGAGUAAUGUCUGGGAAACUGCCUGAUGGAGGGGGAUAACUACUGGAAACGGUAGCUAAUACCGCAUAACGUCGCAAGACCAAAGAGGGGGACCUUCGGGCCUCUUGCCAUCGGAUGUGCCCAGAUGGGAUUAGCUAGUAGGUGGGGUAACGGCUCACCUAGGCGACGAUCCCUAGCUGGUCUGAGAGGAUGACCAGCCACACUGGAACUGAGACACGGUCCAGACUCCUACGGGAGGCAGCAGUGGGGAAUAUUGCACAAUGGGCGCAAGCCUGAUGCAGCCAUGCCGCGUGUAUGAAGAAGGCCUUCGGGUUGUAAAGUACU